AAAAUAUAAUCUUCCAAAACUCAGUGAAGAAGAAGCAGAAAGCCUGAACACACCGAUAACAGCUGAUGAAGUUGAAACAGUAAUCAAAAAGCUUCCGACACACAAAAACCUGGACCAGAUGGUUUCGCAGGAGAAUUUUAUAAGGCAUUUGAGGGAGAGCUAACCUCCAUCCUCCACAGGUUAUUCCAAAAAAUUCAAGAAGAUGGAAGACUCCCAAACUCUUUUUAUGAAGCCAGCAUCAUCCUACUCCCAAAUCCAGAUAAACACAUAACAAAGAAAAAAAAUUUCAGGCCAAUAUCGCUGAUGAACAUAGAUGCUAAAAUCCCUAACAAAGUAUUGGCAAAUCCCAUUCAAUAAUUCAG